rnacentral:lncRNA from 1 species
AUACCGUCCGGUAUGGGCUAAUUUUACUAUUUCAAACAGCCGAUUUCCGAGCAUGCGCAUUCACCCUGGUCGUUCAAAUUCUUCGCUUCAAAGAUGUGAGAGCAGGACAUAAAGCACUGAAACUGUUGACUGAAGUAAUUUUGUGUUGCCCAAGUUGAAAAUAAGAAAGUUAUAUAUCAUCUGAACGAUAUUAUUCGGUUUUUAAAUAUGCAAAUCCUAUAUUCUCAGA